rnacentral:rRNA from 1 species
GGAGCUGAUCUGAGUGAAUUUACUCACAUAGAUGUGCCAAUGAGUGCACCUCAAACAUGGUCUGUCAGUCAGUUGAAAGAAUGGAUUGCGGCAAGUUUAGGUCUUGAUACUGAAACACACACCGUCGGUGUUCAUGCAUUGUGGACACGGUCAAGUACAAUAAUUUACUUUUAUUUGAGGCCAAUAGAGCGAGACUCCGAUUGGGUGCGGUGGUUACAAGGUUGUGAACGAAGGGGAUGCAAUCCUAUUGCUUUAGUGCUUCCCGUCGUGAAGGGGGUCACUGCACAUGAAGGCCAAGGUGGCAACGAUCCUGGGCAGAGCAGUGUAGGUAGGCGGCUAUCUAUGUCAAAUGCUGGAGAUGAUGGUUACGAACAAGGACAGAGCAGUCAGGUAGAAGGAGGAAAUGCUUAUGGUUAUGAACCAGGGCAGAAUAGUCAGGUAGAAGGGGGAAAUGCCGAUGGUGAAUACAAUGGCGAGGUUGACGCUGACGAGGUAGAUGGGCACAUGCAGGACCAGAUGGAAGAAGAAGACACUGAUGUUGAAAGGGGUUAUGCCGAUGAUUCUGGCGAGUCAGGUGAAGAAGAAAAUGCAGUGGAGGUCCCGAAUCCUGCAUGGUGGAAUCAUGACUUCUCAUCUGCAAUGACCGUGAAUGAUGGACAUGAUUCAGCCUGGCAAUAUCAUCAGAACAAUAUUGCAACGGGUGCUAUGUAUCCGAACAAGCAAGCCUUGAAGGAUGCAAUAAUUAAUUGGGCAAUGUCCACGCAAAGGGUUUUCACAACUCAGGUGUCCAGUCAGAAAUUCCUGACAAUGGUAUGCAAGAAUGCAGAUUGUCCCGCUAGGGUGCACGGUUUUCUCCCUAAGUAUGGCACAAGUUGGGUGAUAAGUGACUUAGUUAAUCACACUUGUCUUAUUCCCUGCAUCCCUCAAGAUCAUGCCAAC